AAGAGCAUUUAAUGAAAACCUUGAUAAGAAAUAAAAUAAUAAGGACGUCGCGCGACGAUACGUUAUGGGGAGGCAUAAGCCUGUGAUUCAUAAAUUUCCUAUAAGAAAACUUGUAAGAAAUUUAAAGAAAAUUAGCAUGAAUUGAAUCAUCUUAGUAAUGCUUAAAAAAAAUCAAACGAGAACCCGUUAGUAUAUGGUGAAUGAACGCGGAUAAGGCUUAAUUUAUUCACUUUAAUUUAGAAUUAAUAAGCGUUAAAAGGUUUGAAGUCCUGUAUAAAAUUAGGUGAGUAAUAAGUUGAGUAGUAUGAAGCAAUUUGUAUGAAUUUAGGAGGACCACUUUCUAAGCCAAAUAAUAUUUCUUAAUCGAUAGUGAAAGAGUACCGUGAGGGAAAGGUAAAUUCCAAUAAGGAAGUAAUAAGUUGAAUGUUUAAAAUUUUGAAAUCUUUUUAAAAUAAGGUGACAGAAUGCCUUUUGCAUAAUGAGUCAGCAAGUUAAUAUUUGUAGCAAGCUUAAAACAGAAGUAUGUAAGCUGAAAUAAGUUAUAAUUAUUAAACCUGAAGCCAAGUGAUCUAAUUGGAAACAGGUUGAAUAUUCAAUAGUAUGGAUUUGAAGACCGAACUCGUAUAUGUGGCAAAAUAUAGAGAUGAUUUCUAGUUAGGAGCGAAAGACUAAUCAAACUUGGUGAUAGCCGGUUUUUCACGAAAUAUAUUUUAGUAUAACAUUAUUAAAAUUAGCAAAUCGAAGGUAGAGUACUUAUUAAAUAAAGGGAUAUAAAACGUUUACUGAGUUUAAUUUAACUUCUAAUUUCGAUUUAAUUAAUUAAUAAUAGACAGUCUUUUGGCGAUAAGGUUUAAAGACAAAAGGAAAACAAUCCAGAUCGUAUAUUAAGAUCUUAGAAUUAUAGUUGAGUGAAAAAAGUUUUUGUUUUUUCAAAUAAAUAGGGAUAGGCUUAGAAGCAGUCUUUCAUUGGAGAAAGCGUUUUAGCUCAUUAUUUUUGUAACUUAAACUUAAAAUAAAUGAAGACUCUAAAUUAUAUAUCGAAAUAGCGAAUUAAUAAGAUUAAUGGUAGUGAAACGUUCUGUGUUUUUUAAUUAUGUAAAUAAUUGAAUAAUCUCAGAAGUGCUAAUGCUGAUAUGAGUAGCGUAAAUUAUGUAUAAACAUAAUCACUAAGGUCUUAGGGUUUCAAUGCAAUUUUAUACUCAUUGAUUGAGGCGGUCCUUAAAAAGAGAAUGGAAAUUGUAUUUGAUAGGGAACAACUAUAUGUAUUAAGUAUUUAUUACUUAAAUAUGGAAAGAGAAUAAGAUUAUUAUUUAUUUUGUUAAGGUAAAAAUAAUACUGUUUUUAUUUUUUCGAGAAAAAACUAUAGUUAUUGUAGACCGUACCUAAACCGACACUGGUGACUAAAAAAGUGAAUGAAUGAAUUAUACUGAAGGAACUCGGCAAAUUUCUCUGUACGUUCGCAAUAAGGAGAGUCAUAUUUAUAUAUUUGUGAUGUCAUUACAAAAAGCAACGACUGGUUACCAAAACCAUAAGACUCUGCAAAUUAUUUUAAGAGGUAUAGAGUCUGACGUCUGCCCAGUGCUUAAAAGUGGUAAAUUAAAGUAAAAAGCUUAAAUUUUAACCCUAAGUAAACGGCGGUUCUAACUAUAAGAAUCCUCAGGUAGCGAAAUUCCUUGACGGGUAAAUUCCGUCCUGCAUGAAUGACGUCACGAUUGCUUUACUGUCUCCAGUAUAAAUUCAGCGAAAUUGCAUAACCUAUGAAAAUGUAGGUAUUCUACAGUAAGACGGAAAGACCCUAAAUCCUUUACUCUAUUUUUAUAUUGUAAAAAUUUAAGAUGAUGUGUAGGAUAAGUGGGAGUUAAAAACUAACUUGAAAUACCACCCUUAAGAUUAAAUUUUACUUAUUUAUGAAUUAUAAAUUGUAUAAAAAGGGGAGUUUACUUGGGACGAGUACCUCCUAAAAUGUAACGGAGGUGUACAUAAGGUAAAUUUCAAUUAUUUAAAUUAAAUAAUGUGGCAUAUAAUGGUUAAAAUUUGCUUAACAAAGAGAUUUAUAAAUCGAAUUGAAACGAAAGUUGGUCAUAGUGAUCCGAUGUUGGUGUGUGGAAAUAACAUCGCUUAACAGUUAAAAGGAACUUUAGGGAUAACAGAUUCAUCGUGGUCAAAAGUUCUUAUUGACGCCACGGUUUGAUACCUCGAUGUCGACUCAUCUUAUCCUGAAAUUGAAGUAGAUUUCAAGGGUCUAGUUGUUCGCUAGUUAAAAAGGUACGUGAGUUGGGUUCAGAACGUCGUGAGACAGUUCGGUCCCUAUCUACUGUAGACUAGAAAAAAACAAAUUUAUUUUUAGUACGAGAGGAUCAAAAUAAUUUAACCUCUGGUAUAUUAAUUACUAAAACCAUUAGUAUAGUUAAGUAGCUAAGUUAAAUAAAUUUAUAUGCUGAAAGAAUUAAAAGCAUUAAAUAAAUUUACUAUUUUUUCAAGAAUAUUCUAAAAGAUUAUUAGAUAGAUCGAUUUGAAGUCUUUCCUUAGUAAUGAGGAGCUUAUAAAUCCGAA
rnacentral:rRNA from 1 species